UGGAUAUCGUGGGACCUUCUGCCACAGGGGGAAAUGCCCUCGCGGCAACGAUUACCUGGGGUCGUGUCGUUCUGGGUAUAAUUGCUGUAGGUGGUUGUAGUGUGGCUAAUUGUGGAGAAUCUCCAGGAGUCAUCGCUUUUGACGUCGUGGGAUUCAAGGAAUUGUUGUAGCAAUUUGUCAUUCUCAUUUCAAUAAAAGCAAGAUCUGGGUAGGUUGCA